rnacentral:rRNA from 1 species
AGAGUUUGAUCCUGGCUCAGAUUGAACGCUGGCGGCAUGCUUUACACAUGCAAGUCGAGCGGCAGCGCGGGGGCAACCCUGGCGGCGAGCGGCGAACGGGUGAGUAACGCAUCGGAACGUAUCCUGGAGUGGGGGAUAACCCAGCGAAAGUUGGGCUAAUACCGCAUGAGCUCUGAGGAGGAAUGCGGGGGACUCGCAAGAGCCUCGCGCUGCAGGAGCGGCUGAUGUCCGAUUAGCUUUGGUGGGGUAAAGGCCUACCAAGGCGACGAUCGGUAGCUGGUCUGAGAGGAUGAUCAGCCACACUGCACUGAGACACGGCCCAGACUCCUACGGGAGGCAGCAGUGGGGAAUUUUGGACAAUGGGGGCAACCCUGAUCCAGCCAUGCCGCGUGAGUGAAGAAGGCCUUCGGGUUGUAAAGCUCUUUCGGACGGAACGAAAUGGUUACGGUUAACACCUGUGACUGAUGACGGUACCGUAAGAAGAAGCACCGGCUAACUACGUGCCAGCAGCCGCGGUAAUACGUAGGGUGCGAGCGUUAAUCGGAAUUACUGGGCGUAAAGCGUGCGCAGGCGGUUUCGUAAGCUGGAGGUGAAAUCCCCGGGCUCAACCUGGGAAUGGCCUUCAGGACUGCGAGGCUAGAGUGCGGCAGAGGGAGGUGGAAUUCCACGUGUAGCAGUGAAAUGCGUAGAUAUGUGGAGGAACACCGAUGGCGAAGGCAGCCUCCUGGGCCAGCACUGACGCUCAUGCACGAAAGCGUGGGGAGCAAACAGGAUUAGAUACCCUGGUAGUCCACGCCCUAAACGAUGUCAACUAGGUGUUGGGGAAGGUGACUUCCUUAGUACCGCAGCUAACGCGUGAAGUUGACCGCCUGGGGAGUACGGCCGCAAGGUUAAAACUCAAAGGAAUUGACGGGGACCCGCACAAGCGGUGGAUGAUGUGGAUUAAUUCGAUACAACGCGAAAAACCUUACCUACCCUUGACAUGCCAGGAACUCUGCUGAGAGGUGGAGGUGCCCGAAAGGGAGCCUGGACACAGGUGCUGCAUGGCUGUCGUCAGCUCGUGUCGUGAGAUGUUGGGUUAAGUCCCGCAACGAGCGCAACCCUUGUCGUUAAUUGCCAUCAUUUAGUUGGGCACUUUAGCGAGACUGCCGGUGACAAACCGGAGGAAGGUGGGGAUGACGUCAAGUCCUCAUGGCCCUUAUGGGUAGGGCUUCACACGUCAUACAAUGGCGCAUACAGAGGGUUGCGAAGCCGCGAGGUGAAGCCAAUCCCAGAAAGUGCGUCGUAGUCCGGAUUGCAGUCUGCAACUCGACUGCAUGAAGUCGGAAUCGCUAGUAAUCGCGGAUCAGCAUGUCGCGGUGAAUACGUUCCCGGG